GACGAACCGUGCAAACGUUAUUCGGAAUCACUGGGCUUAAAGGGCGCGUAGGCGGGCCGCCAGGUCCGGGGUGAAAGCCUCCAGCUCAACUGGAGAAGUGCCUUGGAUACCGGCGGCCUCGAGGGAGGUAGGGGCGUGCGGAACUUCGGGUGGAGCGGUGAAAUGCGUAGAUAUCCGAAGGAACACCGGUGGCGAAAGCGGCGCGCUGGAUCUCUUCUGACGCUGAGGCGCGAAAGCGUGGGGAGCAAACGGG
rnacentral:rRNA from 1 species